GCAUUUCAAUAAAAGCAGAAGAGCUUUUAAAAUAACAAUAUGUAAUUUCACACCAACAGAGUCAGGGGAAAAUGAGUUUGUUGGCGAUAGUUUAUGCUUUCACAUACGGCCACAAAGAUUUCCAGUUAUGUAACCAGCAAGAGUGGUUUCCACUCAUCUCCCCCUCAAAUCAUAGGAAACCUCUUUUAUUUAAUACUUUUUUUGACAUGACUUUCAAGGAAGUACCUUAAAAGUGAAAGCAUCUGAAAAUAAAAUAUUUUUAUAUUUAUGUGUAAAGAGCCUCCAUGAAUGGACCGACCUUCACUGCAGAUGGCCUAGUGCUGUCCCUCGUUCAUAUGGAGUGACUCACACUGGAAUAAGGUGCACCAUCCUAAGGACCCGGACUCAGGAACAAAACUUUCCACACUUUAAAUGGAAAGCAUAUUGCAGUUUGGUCUUAAUUUCCACACAAAUGGCACUAAUAAAUUUUAAUGGCAAACUAUUUGAGGGAAAAAUGUAUUUUGCUUUAGCAAGUCAUUUCAUACCUAGGUUAGUCUAGGAAUUCGAAUGAUGUUCUGGAAUUUCAUUGUUCUUUUAAGUAAAAUGAUGAUAUCCCCUGUGAAGAGCCCUAUCAGGGGCUGUUAGAAGGCAUUCCCAGUCUCCAGUGUCCUCAUCUCAAGCCCGCCACCCCCUACUGUCCCCUACUAUCCCUCACACUUACUUCCAUGUCUUUUACUUUCUGUCUCCCUUCUUGCCCAAAUACUGCAUUUCCAGGUGAAGGCUAAAGAGGAAGUAGUGAUGUCCUCAAAGGGUUUCAGAACAAAAUAGCGUGCUCUUUGAUGAGAGCUUAAAUCUGGAGAAUAGCUGAGAAUUGUGCUGUGCUUGCGAGAUCACGACCGGCUUUGCUCUGCAUGGUAGUGGAAAUGCUCUGUGCGCCCAAGCAGAGAGGGGGCAAACCCGUCCCGUGCAGAAGCCAGAAAUAGGUUGGGGGUGGAGGCUCUUGAUCCUCCUGCCACCCUAGUCGCAUAGCCUCAACCUGUCAUUCUGUUGCUACUAAGGAGAAACGGCACCCGACUACCUCCCAACAGCAUUCCCUGGACUAACUACCGGCUGUAAAAGUGUGCUGAAAAUAGCCUUUGUUUUUGUUAAGUCUCCAAGUUGUAGCUCACCCCCUAUACUAACAUUUGCUGUUAGUGAGUAUGGAUCAUUUUGUCUCCACAGAGCCGUGUCCUAUGUUAUGUUUUUAAUAUAAUGAGUGAUUAUUGCUAGAAUUCCUACCAAAAAAGAGGGGGCCUUUUCAGAUAUUUUUACAUGACACUUAAUAGUUUAAGGAGACUAAAUUUUUGUAUAGCUACCUGAGAAUGCCAGGACAUUGAUAAGUAAUGUACCAAUGUUGUGAACCAUUGUUUUAAAAGUGAACCAAUGUUUUAAAAAAGAUCUUCAAAUAGUAAAUGGGCAAGUAGAAGUUUUUUACACCUGUCUAAAGUAAUUUCUGCCCACUCUUUCAUGUUGCUUAUCAGGGGAAAAAAGUCAUUUAAUUGGUUUUAUAAAUUACAUGUAUUAGUCUAACCUUCUAAGAUUUUUCUAAUAAAUGGACAGAAACAGGGGAGCUGGCA
rnacentral:lncRNA from 1 species